rnacentral:rRNA from 1 species
GACGAACGCGGGCGGCCUGCUUAACACAUGCAAGUCGAACGAGGAUGCCUAGCGUGUUAGGUGGAUUAGUGGCGAACGGGUGGGUAAUACGUGAUUGACUUACCUUUGACUUGGGGCUAAGCCUGGGAAAGUGGGUCUAAAACCGGAUACGACCAAUCUUCGCCCGGGUGUUGCCGGACAGCGAUAUUGACUACCAUCAGAUGGGCUCACGGCCUAUCAGCUUGUUCUGAGGUAAGGGCUUACCAAGGCGACGACGGGUAGCCGGCCUGAGAGGGUGACCGGCCACACUCGGACUGAGACACGGCCCAGACUCCUACGGGAGGCAGCAGUGCGGAAUGUUGCACAAUGGGGGCAAGCCUGAUGCAGUGACGCCGCGUCAGGGAUGACGGCAUUCGGAUUGUAAACGUUUGUAAGCACGAAGAAGCGAAAGGACG